rnacentral:rRNA from 1 species
UACAGAGGUCUCAAGCGUUGUUCGGAUUCAUUGGGCGUAAGGGGUGCGUAGGUGGCGCCGUAAGUCAGGUGUGAAAUUUCGGAGCUUAACUCCGAAACUGCAUUUGAUACUGCGGUGCUUGAGGACUGGAGAGGAGACUGGAAUUCACGGUGUAGCAGUGAAAUGCGUAGAUAUCGUGAGGAAGACCAGUGGCGAAGGCGGGUCUCUGGACAGUUCCUGACACUGAGGCACGAAGGCCAGGGGAGCAAACGGG